rnacentral:rRNA from 1 species
AUUGAACGCUGGCGGAAUGCUUUACACAUGCAAGUCGAACGGCAACACGGACUUCGGUCUGGUGGCGAGUGGCGAACGGGUGAGUAAUGUAUCGGAACGUGCCCAGUCGUGGGGGAUAACGUAGUGAAAAUUACGCUAAUACCGCAUACGAUCUAUGGAUGAAAGCGGGGGAUCGCAAGACCUCGCGCGAUUGGAGCGGCCGAUAUCAGAUUAGGUAGUUGGUGGGGUAAAGGCCCACCAAGCCAACGAUCUGUAGCUGGUCUGAGAGGACGACCAGCCACACUGGAACUGAGACACGGUCCAGACUCCUACGGGAGGCAGCAGUGGGGAAUUUUGGACAAUGGGCGCAAGCCUGAUCCAGCCAUUCCGCGUGCAGGAUGAAGGCCCUCGGGUUGUAAACUGCUUUUGUACAGAACGAAAAGGUUUCUACUAAUACUAGGAGCUCAUGACGGUACUGUAAGAAUAAGCACCGGCUAACUACGUGCCAGCCGCCGCUGUAAAAC